UGAGCAACCUGCCCUUGACACUGGAAUAAACAGUUAGAAACAGCUGCUAAUACCGGAUAUGACCUCUGACGACAUCGUCUGGAGGUGGAAAGCUCCGGCGGUCAAGGAUGGGCUCGCGGCCUAUCAGCUUGUUGGUGAGGUAACGGCUCACCAAGGCUUCGACGGGUAGCCGGCCUGAGAGGGCGACCGGCCACACUGGGACUGAGAUACGGCCCAGACUCCGUAGGAGG
rnacentral:rRNA from 1 species